AAAUAAAGAUUUACAUCAUCAAACCCAAGUUUUACCGGUGCUAAUACGCAACAUUACAAUUACCGUUUUUGAAUCGGGUCAACAAUCCAAAUGCUUGUAUACUAUACAAUACAAUACAAGUUUCCACUUUCCAGAGAGGAAUCGUUGUGGCGGUGUUCAAAACGAAGACAAUAAUUUAACCAUGAAAUCUGCAAGAGAGAAAGAAAACGAACGGUGCAUGAGUUCGCACCAUCGCCGUCUACUCCACGCCUUAAACCUUGGCACCAGACAUUUCGAUGAGAACACAAAUAGAUGGAAGUGGCAGUGCGCAAAUAUUGAAGUUCACAAAAAUGUACUAAGAUCGAUUAAUGCAUUUCUUGAUUCUCUAUCUGGAGAUGCACGUGCGCCACGUCAUACUAUCGUUAAGGAAUCUGCUGCUGAUAUUUUGGGAGCAUUGUUAUGGAUUCUUCAAUGCAAAAGUGAACCCUUGUUAAGCAUGGCAUCAAAUGUGGCAGUUAAGUUGGUUACUGUUUUACCGACUCCACUUCUGCAAUCAGGUUUGUUGGAUCUUGUCUAUUGCCUAUCGUCCUUGCUAUCUUCACAUCAGGUAGAAGUUGCAAUACCCUGUGCUACUGCUUUGAAUUUGAUCAUCUCAAAUGUCAGUGCUACUAGUGAGAAGGCAGUUAUUCAAGCACUGAAAGAAACAGAUAUCUCUAUUUGUAUUGUUGGAAAUAUAAAAGAUUAUUUUACCUGUGGUGUGAAGAAAAUUGAAUAUUUUCUGGAGAUGACUUCACUUUUGAGUACAAUACUGUUGCGGUGGCCUUCAUCCCGGUUCCCUGUUUGUAAUGAUGUUGAACUUAUGAAAGGUUUAGCAAACAUGUAUACAACGACGGAUAGUUCGAUUAAACUUGUUCUUCUAAAGCUGUACACAUCCUUAGCUUUAUGUGAUUCUGUAGCACAAAAACUUAUAGACGGUGGAAAGGUAUUUCUCCAAAUGAUUGUGCAGGCAAUGGGAAAAUCAAACCCUCAUGAUGUUCGGAUAGAAGCGUUUCGGCUUGCUCAAUGUCUAUUGAGAUCCAGAGAAAAUUGUUUAAAAGUGAUGGAUUUGUGUGGUGAAGCUCUUGUUGAUGCCAUACUUUGUGGGAUGAGAGAGACAAAACCGUGUUCCAAAAAAGUUGAGAACAACCAUGGUUCUCUAUUAGUGGAAGCAUGUCAGUUGGCUCUAAUUACUCGUUGGGCUGGUGAUCAUCAUAUCAGGUUUUGGAAACAAGGAAUUGAUAGAGUCCUCCUUAAUCUUCUGAUUGAAAAUAUUCAUGACCAAUCAUCUGAACUUGUCUUGUCAUUGGAAAAACAAAUAUCCAUGGUGAAGGAGGGAUUGAAAGUCAAUUAUCACGUUGCUCUGAGGAGUUAUCUGUGGGACAUUCUUGGGUGGCUUACAAUUCAUUGUGGAGAAAAUUCAAACCCUCAUACCCAUGGAAGUGGGCUCCAUAUCAACUUAUUGAUUCUGUGUGCAUGCUUGACUUUUGUUGAUACAAUCCAAAAAUGGUGCCGGAUAUGUCGAAAGGAUGUUGAUGAUAAUUUUCAAAGCGAACCAGUAUCAAGGGCUGUUCUAAUGAUGAUAUAUUCUCCGUGUAAUCACAUUUCCUCACAUGCUAGAUUUGUAUUAUCUGAUAUACUGAAGGUGAAAGGCGCUUCGUGCUUGAAAAACUUAAUACAUACCCUUGAUUAUAUAUCAUCCCUAGAAAGCUAUGGUUCAUUUGAUAAACUUCAACUUGUCAUUAACUUAUUCGGGUUAACUUGUCUUUCAAGUUUACCAGAGUAUCAAAGAUGUAUCACAGAAGGCAGAGGGAUAAAGGUCGUUGUUCUUCUUGUGCAACGAUGCUUAAGUAAUGAUAUUUAUGUAGAAAGGUCUGAAGUUGCUCCUCAUUUGGAUACAGUACUCCAUAAAAGGUCUUGUUGCUGGGUUGGUAAAGGAGACUGGGAAGGUUCCAAUGUUCUCUUAUUUUAUGGUUUGUGGGGCUUAGCUGAAUUUCUUCAUCAAUGUGGCUUUUUAGAAGACAAACCUCAGCAAUUUACUAGAGAGGUGGUAAACAUUAAAACUCAGUUAGUUGACAAACUUCAUGAGAUUUGUAGUAGCACCUCUUCCAGCCCUGGAGUGAAAUGGUAUGUUUCUUAUAUUCUAAGUUAUUUUGGAUUUUAUGGUUUCCCAAAUGAAUUUUCCAAAAGGAUUGGGAAAUCUCUUAAUAAGGAAGAAUAUGCAGAUUUGCGACUCAUUGUAGCAAAUGGGGAUUCUGUGAGUGUUCAUGGUGUUAUUCUUGCUGUUCAAUGUCCAUCGCUUCUACCUCCUGGAGUGUUAUCUAGUAAUAAGAGUCCUAAAGAAGUAACAGAUUAUUUUGAUGGAGCGACCUUGAGAGAAGUUCGCUAUUCUUCUCAUGUUGAUUAUGAAGCAUUGUUGUUGUUCUUGGAAUAUGUAUAUUUGGGAUGCUUACAUGUGGUAGAAGAAGAAACUGUGAAGAAACUCAAAAUUCUUGCUAAGCGUUGCAAUCUACAGCCUCUCUUGCAAAUGCUUUGCAGACAAUCUCCAAAAUGGGGCACGCCUUUCCCCAGCUUUAAUCUUACUUCAUCUCUCGAUUCAGCUGGAAGUUAUUUUUCAGAUGUCAUAAUGGAAGCUAAAUCAAAUGAGCUUGUUGGAUGGACAUGUGAUAUUUGUUCUCACCCAGUACCGCAUUUGCAUGUUCACAAAGUUAUAUUGCAGUCUGGAUGUGAUUAUUUACAGGGUUUGUUCAGAUCAGGAAUGCAAGAGAGUCAUUCACAAGUUGUUAUGGUUGAUGUUAGCUGGGAAGCAUUGAUUAAACUAGUACAGUGGUUUUAUUCUGACGAUCUGCCAAAUCCCCCGUCUGGUUGUUUGUGGGUUAACAUGGAUGAUCAAGAAAAGCUAUUCAAUUUGCAGCCAUAUGUGGAGCUCUGUUGGCUUGCUGAGUUCUGGAUUUUGGAAAGUAUUCAGGAAGCCUGCUGGAAUGCGAUUAUGUCCUGUCUUGAUUCUUCGAAGCAAUUGUCCGUUAAAAUAAUCAAAAUGGCUUAUAACCUCUCUUUGUGGAAGUUGGUUGACAUUGCUGCAAAUCUUAUGGCUCCUUCAUAUAGGCAAUUACGGGAUUCUGGUGAACUUGAAGAAUUUGAUGAUGCACUAGUUCACUUUAUUUAUUCUGCUUCAAUUGUACUUAACCAUGAAGGUGAAAAUCGAUUUAGGUGAUAUGACUUCAAGAUGAUUUACAGUGCAGGAGAUUCAGGUGUGUUGUAAAAAUAUUUAGGAGCUAAACAUUUUUUCGGCAUGUUAGUUAUGCUGACAUUUCUAAAUUAUUUUUUAUUUUGAAAGUUUUAAGUAGACGUUGAAUAGGAAGUUUUUCGAAGCAACAAUUGUAUGCAGACUUAUGUGGACCCUCUAGAAUAUUCUGAGUGACACACAUACAGAGACAGAUGAUCUUCUGAAGAGGCGCUUGUGGUUAGAGCAAGUCUUGAUCUUAGUCUGCAAUUUUCAAAUAUGUAAAUAACUGCUAGAUCAAAGGAGUUAGGAGAAGGUCCAAUCAGUUUGAGCUGGCGCUGUUGUGAAGACUUUUGUCAAGAUAUGGUAACUCGUAAUUGUUUGCCUCCUUCCAUGGUACCGAAAAGUCUUAGAGCACAUGCUCCGAAUUAUGGAUAUGAUUAUUGUUUCUACUGAGACAUGCAAUGAUUUAGUUUGUUAUUAUUAAGAUAUUAUUCCUUAUUUCCUUAAUUAAGAGAUUCUCCUUGUACAA